rnacentral:rRNA from 1 species
AGGUAUGCUUAGGGAGGAGCUUGCGUCACAUUAGUUAGUUGGUGGGGUAAAGGCCUACCAAGACUAUGAUGUGUAGCCGGGCUGAGAGGUUGAACGGCCACAUUGGGACUGAGACACGGCCCAAACUCCUACGGGAGGCAGCAGUAGGGAAUUUUCGGCAAUGGAGGAAACUCUGACCGAGCAACGCCGCGUGAACGAUGAAGUAUUUCGGUACGUAAAGUUCUUUUAUUAGGGAAGAAUAAAUGAUGGAAAAAUCAUUCUGACGGUACCUAAUGAAUAAGCCCCGGCUAACUAUGUGCCAGCAGCCGCGGUAAUACAUAGGGGGCAAGCGUUAUCCGGAAUUAUUGGGCGUAAAGGGUGCGUAGGCGGUUAAAUAAGUUUAUGGUCUAAGUGCAAUGCUCAACAUUGUGAUGCUAUAAAAACUGUUUAGCUAGAGUAAGAUAGAGGCAAGUGGAAUUCCAUGUGUAGUGGUAAAAUGCGUAAAUAUAUGGAGGAACACCAGUAGCGAAGGCGGCUUGCUGGGUCUUUACUGACGCUGAGGCACGAAAGCGUGGGGAGCAAACAGGAUUAGAUACCCUGGUAGUCCACGCCGUAAACGAUGAGUACUAAACGUUGGGUAAAACCAGUGUUGAAGUUAACACAUUAAGUACUCCGCCUGAGUAGUACGUACGCAAGUAUGAAACUUAAAGGAAUUGACGGGACUCCGCACAAGCGGUGGAUCAUGUUGUUUAAUUCGAAGGUACCCGAAAAACCUCACCAGGUCUUGACAUGCUUCUGCAAAACUGUAGAAACACAGUGGANGUUAUCAGUUGCACAGGUGGUGCAUGGUUGUCGUCAGCUCGUGUCGUGAGAUGUUGGGUUAAGUCCCGCAACGAGCGCAACNCUUAUUGUUAGUUACCAGCACGUAAUGGUGGGGACUUUAGC